rnacentral:lncRNA from 1 species
GUUCAGGUAAAAGAUCGGAGUAUUUUUUUCAGUCCUUCGUUUUUUAAUACUUAUUCAGUUUUCUUCUCCAUUUUCUUUGUUUUCUUACUUUUCUUUUCUUCACCAUUUUUCCUUUCUUUUUGCAUUUGUUUCUUCUUUUUUUCUCAUUUUUUCUUUCCUUCUUUAUUUAUUGUAUUUCCUUCAUUUUUUCUUAUUUUUGUUUCGUUUUCACUCUACCUUUUCAUACAUGUCAAAAACAUUUUUUUAACAAGUGAUCAACAUUUUUUGUAUACACGUUCAACAUUGACCGAACGCUAUUUCAACAUUUUUCAAAAACUUGUUCAAUAAUUUCAUAGUUAUUCAAAAAAAUUCAAAUAGUUAAUCAACAUUUUUAGUACUUCAACAUUUUCAAAUACUUGUUCAACAUUUUUGAUAUACUUCAACAUUUUUUACUAACGAUUCAACAUUUUUUAAAUAUUUGUUCAACAUUUUUAGGACUUAUUCAACAUUUUAAAAAACUUGUUUAACAAGUAUUUUAAAAUUGUUGUACAUGUAUUAAAUUUUUUGAAUGAGUAUUUAAAAAAAANNNNNNNNNNAAGACAAGGUGGCUGCCAGGCUGGUGCCGUGGGAUGGGCAAAAUAUUACCUCCAUUGGGCGUGGAGCUCUUGUCAAAUCUGUCCUCACCUCCCAGGUGAUCUACCACAUCAUCGCUCUCAAACCGCCGGUGAGUACACUACGUAAUAUUACCAAGAUUGAGAGGGCGUUUUUAUGGGCUGGCACAAACAAGGUAACAGGGGCGAAAUGCAAGGUCAGCUGGAAUUUGGUUUGCAGACCGACUGAGUUGGGAGGUUUGGGGAUCCUUGAUCUUACCAAAUUCGCGAGAGCUCUCAGAUUGAGAUGGUUGUGGUUUGAAUGGGCGGAUGCCUCCAAGAUGUGGGUGGGCAUGGCCAACCCUUGUGAUAUUCUGGACCGAGAUCUCUUCUAUGCAUCUUCGUACAUCACCAUAGGCAACGGGGCGCGCGCUCCUUUCUGGGAUUCCCCUUGGGUUGAUGGGGAUAAGCCCGCCAACAUCGCCCCUCUCAUCUUCGAGGCGUCCAAACGCAAGAAUUGGACUGUUAGGGAGGCCAUGCAUGAGGACAAAUGGCUAUCGUCAAUUAAGCUUCCCGACCAUUGGACCAUGGAGCACAUUCGGCAGAUCGUCACCUUGUGGGCUCGGUUGCGAGUCAUUCCUAUAUCGGAGGACACGGAGGACACAAUUACUUGGAAGCACACUCUUGAUGGAGCUUACUAUGCCACUUCUGCGUACAAGGCGCAACUUCUUGGGACGGUUCGUUCGUCCAUGCACUUCGCGGUUUGGAAGGCUUGGGCGCCACCCAAGAUGAAAUUUUUCGCUUGGCUUGCGAUUCAAAACCGUAUCUGGACGGCGGAUAGAUUACAGAAANNNNNNNNNNUUUUUUCUUAUUUUUGUUUCGUUUUCACUCUACCUUUUCAUACAUGUCAAAAACAUUUUUUUAACAAGUGAUCAACAUUUUUUGUAUACACGUUCAACAUUGACCGAACGCUAUUUCAACAUUUUUCAAAAACUUGUUCAAUAAUUUCAUAGUUAUUCAAAAAAAUUCAAAUAGUUAAUCAACAUUUUUAGUACUUCAACAUUUUCAAAUACUUGUUCAACAUUUUUGAUAUACUUCAACAUUUUUUACUAACGAUUCAACAUUUUUUAAAUAUUUGUUCAACAUUUUUAGGACUUAUUCAACAUUUUAAAAAACUUGUUUAACAAGUAUUUUAAAAUUGUUGUACAUGUAUUAAAUUUUUUGAAUGAGUAUUUAAAAAAAAUGAACAAGAAUUUUAAACUAUUGAGCAAGUAUUACAAAUUUUUGAACAAUUAUUUUAAAGAUGUUGAAUAAGUAUUAAAAAAAUGUUGAACGAGUAUUUGGAAAGUUUUGAACGAGUAUUUCAAAAUGUUGGAUAAGUAUCAAAAAUGUUGAACAAGUAUUUGAAAAAUGUUGUAUAAGUAUUAAAAAAUGUUGGACGAGUAUUUAAAAAAUGUAGAAAAAGUAUUUAAAAAAUGUUGACAUAAAUACUAAAAUGUUGAACAAGUAUUUGAAAAACAAUGUUGGGACAAAGUUGAAAGUGUAUACAAAAAAUAUUGAUCACUUAUUAAAAAAUGUCUUUUCACACAAACAAAAAUGUAGAGCAAAAAUGACAACAAAGAUAAGAAAAAAAAUGGAGAUGAAAAAUAAAACCAAACAAAUGUUUGAAAUUUGAGAAGAAAAAUGAAAACCAAACAAAUGUUUGAAAUAUGAGAAGAAAAAUAAAACAAAACAUAAGAUUUUGAAAAAGUAUUAAAAAUGUUGAACGAGUAUUUAGAAAAUGUUGAACAAGUAUUUGAAAAAUGUUGCAUAAAAAUUAAAAAAUGUUGAACGAGUAUUUGAAAAAUGUGGAAAAAUAUUUGGAAAAUGUUGAACAAGUAUUUUAAAAAAAUGUUCGGACAAUGUUGAAUGUUUAUACAAAAAAUGUUGAUCACUUAUUAAAAAAAGUUUUUUGACACAUACGAAAAUGUAGAGUGAAAAUGAAAAUAAACAUAAGAAAAAAAGGAAAAUAAAAAAGAAAACCAAGUAAAAAAUGUACAAGAAACGAAAUGCAAGAAAACAAAAAAAAGGAAGAAACAAAAUGCAAGAAAGAAUGGAAAAAUGGAGAAGAAAAAUAAAAGAAACAAAGGAAAACGAAAAAAAACCCGGCUCGAGUAGCCUCAAGUAGG